UGAGUAACCUGCCCUUCACUUCGGGAUAACUCCGGGAAACCGGGGCUAUACUGGAUAUGACCUGGUGCCGCAUGGUGCUGGGUGGAAAGUUUUUCGGUGGGGGAUGGACUCGCGGCCUAUCAGCUUGUUGGUGAGGUAGUGGCUUACCAAGGCGACGACGGGUAGCCGGCCUGAGAGGGCGAUCGGCCACACUGGGACUGAGACACGGCCCAGACUCCUACGGGAGCA
rnacentral:rRNA from 1 species